GCCUGUUGCUGCUGGAGCUGAUUCCCUUCCCCUCCUCAUCUCCCACCUCCUUUCAGUCUCACAUACACACACAGAUGCUGCCACAGACACACGCGAGCGCAAAUAUUUACACACUGCCACACCGAAGAAAUCCAUGCACGUUUUCCUGCAAACACGCGCGCGCGCACACGUACUUCGGCGGGCGCCCACGUCCUCUGUCUCACCAACAGACACAGACAUAUACACUUCUAGGCCAGGAAAGCGCUAACCAGGGCCCUGUGACUCUACGCAGGUUCCAGAACACGCCUUCUACAUUUGUUACUGAACCGAUCAGCGAACACAGACAAACGUGCCAACACUUAAGUCUACUGGCUGGACUUCAUCUCCAUGGCAACAAGCAUGGAAGGUUUUAAGAAAAAUAAGAGAGUAGUGGAUUAAUCACUGGUUAAGAGCCAACAGACUUCACUCCUCCAACAAUCAGCUAUGAUACUGUGUCUGUGUCUACAUUAUGCAUUUUCAAAAGGCGAAGAGUUGAUUCCAGAAGGAACUGUGAAGAGCCACAACAAUGUGCCAGUGAAUAAUGAGUAGUACCUACUGUGGCAACUCUUCAGCUAAGAUGAGUGUCAACGAAGUAUCAGCUUUCUCAUUGACUCUGGAGCAAAAAACUGGCUUUGCUUUUGUUGGGAUUUUGUGUAUCUUCUUGGGACUUCUUAUUAUCCGAUGCUUCAAAAUCCUGCUAGACCCAUAUAGUAGCAUGCCUUCCUCUACAUGGGAAGAUGAAGUUGAAGAGUUUGAUAAAGGGACAUUUGAAUAUGCACUCGCGUGAGAGUUCCAGCUAUAUGGUUUUUAUGGUUGUGCCAUCGGGACACAUUCUGGAUACAAUUGUAACUACCUUGAGGGUGUGGGAGAGAGGCUCAUUUUGUUCAGUGAAUUCAAUAAACAUCUGUGACUAAUUUCUUCACCAUGCUGUGUAAAUGAUAAACUAUUGUUGGGAUUCCUCACUUUCCUCUGUUCCCACUUAGAGGUUUCCAAUGAAUAGAGCAUAAGGAUGGCUGCAGCCAUGUUUACCAUCUUUAUUCUUAUCUUGAAC
rnacentral:lncRNA from 1 species